UUAUCACUAAUCAAGCCCGGCUUGUUGUUGGACCUUUUGUCGAUAAAAGACAGGUCCCAAAGAUAAUGACGGCGUCAGUUGGACCCUAGAUGCAACGAGCUUUAACCAGCACGCUUCUUAGUUGGCCCUUUUGACCCGGUCUUUUUUAACCAAUUUUAAAGGUUGACCUCGGAUCAGGUAGGAAUACCCGCUGAACUUAA
rnacentral:misc_RNA from 1 species